GUGCUCGCUUCAGCAGCACAUAUACUAAAAUUCUAUACAGAGAAGAUUAGCAUGACCCCUGUGCAAGAAUGACACAAUAAAAGACUAACAUCAACAUUAAAUGU